UACGUAGGGGGCAAGCGUUGUCCGGAUUUAUUGGGCGUAAAGAGCUCGUAGGUGGUUCGGUAAGUCGGAUGUGAAAUCUCCAGGCUCAACCUGGAGGGGUCAUUCGAUACUGCUGUGACUAGAGUCCGGUAGGGGAGCGUGGAAUUCCUGGUGUAGCGGUGAAAUGCGCAGAUAUCAGGAGGAACACCAGUGGCGAAGGCGGCUCACUGGUCCGGUACUGACGCUGAGGUGCGAAAGCGUGGGGAGCAAACAGG
rnacentral:rRNA from 1 species